CAGGAACAGGGAGUUGGGAUUUCAUUCACACGGUCAUAGGAAGUCUUUGGAGGCUCUUAAUCGGUGCAGUGCAAUGAUCAGAGAACAGCUGUGGCUCUACAGUUCACAGACCGCCUAGGACAGCGGGAGCCAUGCAGAAUAGAGCUCAGUUUGAAUCCUGGCUCUGUCAACUACUCAGUGCCAUGGUCUUGUGCAAGUCGGGAUUUGGACACAAGUUCACAGAGGAAGGGAGUUUGGAAGACUGGAGGCCUGAGUGAGGCAGGAGGUGAAUCUGAAUAACCUGCUCUAGGCUGCACUGAGAACAUCCCUCUUUCUGACAGUGAAGACCUUGCUUUUUGAGCAAGCUUGCUUUCCCCAAAUCUUCCUCCCAGAGGCUUCUCAGUCUCUCAAGCAAAGAGAGCCCACCUGAGCCCUUGUCCAGACAAGUUGGAUAUAUUUGAACAAUUUAGCCUUAACUUGUUCCCCCCUACCACUGCCACCUACUCUUCUUUAAUUCUCUAAUACCCACCCUCCCCACACCUUUUCCCGCAAGAAUGUCUACAUAUGUUCUAUAGCGACGAAAAGAAAUACACUGUUCUUUCCGUAUAGGGCUUAUUCAGUAAGGAGUUUUUUGUUUUUUGGGUUUUUUCCCCCAUGAUCCUAAAAUUCUGUUCUUAUUUGAGAUGCUUUGAUAAGAGUGAAACCACCUGCUGCCUGGCCUGGGUGAUGCAGCGAUUCUCUGAGAUUCAAAAGUGAUUUGCCUCCUGGUAGC
rnacentral:lncRNA from 1 species